rnacentral:rRNA from 1 species
UACGUAGGGUCCGAGCGUUGUCCGGAAUUACUGGGCGUAAAGAGCUCGUAGGUGGUUUGUCGCGUUGUUCGUGAAAACUCACAGCUCAACUGUGGGCGUGCGGGCGAUACGGGGCAGACUAGAGUACUGCAGGGGAGACUGGGAAUUCCUGGUGUAGCGGUGGAAUGCGCAGAUAUCAGGAGGAACACCGGUGGCGAAGGCGGGUCUCUGGGCAGUAACUGACGCUGAGGAGCGAAAGCGUGGGGAGCGAACAGG